AACGAACGCUGGCGGCGUGGAUAAGACAUGCAAGUCGGACGAGAUUUUUUCUUGUAGCAAUACGAGGAAAAGUCUAGUGGCGAACGGGUGCUUAACACGUGGGCAACCUACCGAGAAGUGGGGGAUAGCUCGCCGAAAGGCGAAUUAAUACCGCAUGUGAUCAGAGUGGACAUCCAUUCGAAAUCAAAGUCGGGGCAACCUGACGCUUCUUGAGGGGCCCGCGGCCUAUCAGCUAGUUGGUGAGGUAAUGGCCCACCAAGGCUUUGACGGGUAGCUGGUCUGAGAGGACGACCAGCCACACUGGGACUGAGACACGGUCCAGACACCUACGGGUGGCAGCAGUCGAGAAUUUUUCUCAAUGGGGGAAACCCUGAAGGAGCGACGCCGCGUGGAGGAUGAAGGUUUUCGGAUUGUAAACUCCUGUCAUCCGGGAGCAAUGCUAUCAUGUUAACUGCGUGAUAGUUGAUAGUACCGGAAGAGGAAGAGACGGCUAACUCUGUGCCAGCCGCCGCGGUAAAAC
rnacentral:rRNA from 1 species